rnacentral:rRNA from 1 species
AUUGAACGCUGGCGGCAUGCUUUACACAUGCAAGUCGAACGGCAGCGGGGAGGAGCUUGCUUCUCUGCCGGCGAGUGGCGAACGGGUGAGUAAUACAUCGGAACGUGUCGAGAAGAGGGGGAUAACCACCCGAAAGGGUGGCUAAUACCGCAUAAAUUCUGAGGAAGAAAGCUGGGGACCUAGGAAUAGGCCUAGCGCUUUUUGAGCGGUCGAUGUCGGAUUAGAUAGUUGGUGAGGUAAAGGCUCACCAAGGCGAAGAUCUGUAGCGGGUCUGAGAGGAUGAUCCGCCACACUGGGACUGAGACACGGCCCAGACUCCUACGGGAGGCAGCAGUGGGGAAUUUUGGACAAAGGGGGCAACCCUGAUCCAGCCAUGCCGCGUGUAUGAAGAAGGCCUUAGGGUUGUAAAGUACUUUUGUUAGGGAAGAAAAGUCAGCUGUGAAUAAUGGCUGAUACUGACGGUACCUAAAGAAUAAGCACCGGCUAACUACGUG